AUUGAACGCUGGCGGCAGGCCUAACACAUGCAAGUCGAACGAGUGGCGGACGGGUGAGUAAUGUCUGGGAAACUGCCCGAUGGAGGGGGAUAACUACUGGAAACGGUAGCUAAUACCGCAUACCAUCGGAUGUGCCCAGAUGGGAUUAGCUAGUAGGUGGGGUAAUGGCUCACCUAGGCGACGCUCCCUAGCUGGUCUGAGAGGAUGAGCAGCCACACUGGAACUGAGACAAGGCACAGACUCAUCCGGGAGGCAGCGGUGGGGAAUAUUGCACAAUGGGCGCAAGCCUGAUGCAGCCAUGCCGCGUGUAUGAAGAAGGCUUUAGGGUUGUAAAGUACUUUCAGCGAGGAGGCGUUACUCGCAGAAGAAGCACCGGCUAACUCCGUGCCAGCAGCCGCGGUAAUUC
rnacentral:rRNA from 1 species